CAGCAGCAGCCGCGGGAAUACGGAGGGUGCAAGCGUUAUCCGGAUUUAUUGGGUUUAAAGGGUCCGUAGGCGGAUCUGUAAGUCAGUGGUGAAAUCUCACAGCUUAACUGUGAAACUGCCAUUGAUACUGCAGGUCUUGAGUAAAUUUGAAGUGGCUGGAAUAAGUAGUGUAGCGGUGAAAUGCAUAGAUAUUACUUAGAACACCAAUUGCGAAGGCAGGUCACUAAGAUUUAACUGACGCUGAUGGACGAAAGCGUGGGUAGCGAACAGGAUUAGAUACCCCAGUAGUCCCUGUCUCUUAUAC
rnacentral:rRNA from 1 species